AUUGAACGCUGGCGGCAGGCCUAACACAUGCAAGUCGAGCGGAUGAGAAGAGCUUGCUCUUCGAGUUAGCGGCGGACGGGUGAGUAAUGCCUAGGAAUCUGCCUGGUAGUGGGGGACAACGUUUCGAAAGGAACGCUAAUACCGCAUACGUCCUACGGGAGAAAGCAGGGGACCUUCGGGCCUUGCGCUAUCAGAUGAGCCUAGGUCGGAUUAGCUAGUUGGUGAGGUAACGGCUCACCAAGGCGACGAUCCGUAACUGGUCUGAGAGGAUAAUCAGUCACACUGGAACUGAGACACGGUCCAGACUCCUACGGGAGGCAGCAGUGGGGAAUAUUGGACAAUGGGCGAAAGCCUGAUCCAGCCAUGCCGCGUGUGUGAAGAAGGUCUUCGGAUUGUAAAGCACUUUAAGUUGGGAGGAAGGGCAGUAAGCGAAUACCUUGCUGUUUUGACGUUACCGACAGAAUAAGCACCGGCUAACUCUGUGCCAGCAGCCGCCGUAAGAC
rnacentral:rRNA from 1 species